UGUGCCAAGCAUGAUCUCUCUUUGACGCAGUUUGCUAAAGGCUGUCCUGUUGACAUUGGUAUCAAACUGGCAAUCACUGCAGACCAUUCAGGAGUCAUAUCAUUUAGUCGUUGUUUAACCAGCUACAUUUCCUACUUUUACUAUUCAUUAUGCUAAUUUAUAGGAGUGAAUUUUCUCAUCCCUUCGGCAAUGGUCGGAAAACAGGAGAGCUUGCAGUGUCGUAGGGGAAGAAACUGGGAAGACAGCCUGUGCUUCCUGUAGGAUUUUGGAUUUGGGGGGUCACAGAUACCCAAGAUAACCAACCAACUAUUUAUAGCCAAGAAUUGCCAAUGUCCAAGACGAGGGUGAGUAACAGGACUGAUGCCAGUGCAUUGUCUCUCAACCUGUCACUUGCAGCCACAAGCUCAGAUACUGGUGCUGCCUCUACCUGAACAAAUGACAGAGAAUGCGGAUCUGUACUCAGCAGGCAUGUGUGGGCUGCUUACAUACCAGAAGAACACGCAAUAGAUGAUUCGGAGAAAAGUGUUCUAAAACUUUUGGUUGCCAAGGGCAAGGAAGAGCUUCACAGAAUUAACACAUCCAGUCUUUCCAUUGACAAUUCGAAAGACCCAGAAAGUGGGAAGGUCCUAAGACCAGUGAAAGUGCAACAGUUUUACUUGAAUAGAGGAGACACAUCGAUGCUUGGGAAGACGCCUACUGAAGUAACAACAUUUCAGGGCUUUAUUUGAAGCAUUUGUUCAAUAAAGAGUCUAUUCGCAUCAAAGGCAAUUUAAAACUUAAAUUUAGAAGAAAAUUAACAUGUCACAAGAUGCAUAUUAAAUAAAUAUCUAUUGCUGUUCAAACAUUGCAUAUGCAAUUUGAUCGUUUUGACAAAUCUUGGUUUUUUGCCUCACCAAUGCCUGUCCCAAUCAUCGAUAAUUAAUUUUGUAAAGGUACCUUUCAACAAGCUUUGGAGCUCUCAUUAACAUGUUAAAAGGGCUGGAUGUCUGUUUUAGGCUCAGGACGCCUGCAAAAUGGUCCGAAUGAAUUUACACAAGGGAUCCCUAUGCAAGGCAGGCAUAGGAUGUCUGAUUGUUAUUAAUUUGCUUUGACUUAUGCUAAUUUUACACUUAGAAAGGGUGCAAUACCUAAACAAAUUUUUAUCCUUUUGCACCAUCUGUUUUCACAACAUGGAUCUGAUAAAAAUCCUUGAUUUGCUGGAAGACAUCAGCAGAACAGGAUCAAACAAAACCCAGCAGAGAAGAGGAUGUAGGUCAACCAGCAGGAUUGACCAGUUUCCUGACAGCCUGUUUAUUAAGAGUGACAGAAUUAUUUGAUUUCAUUGAAGAAUAGAGGGGGAGGAUGCUAAAGCUCACUGAGGAACAGCAUGAUUUUUCCAGUUCAUCAAAAAUCAUGGACGUUUAGCAGUGAGAAAUGAUGACAUUAUGGAAUGAGGCAAAAGCCACCCCUUCAUUUUCCAAACAUUUCACAUAGAAACGAUACACUCUCUGUCUGAGAAGAACAGUAUUGUUCCAAAAAGCUUGCUACCAACUACCAUGGUGAACUGCUACGACUGGAAAACUCAAAUGUUUCCUUGCCAAUCUGGGUGCAAGUAAUGUCACAGCAGAAAAUUCCAUCUCCUAGCUCUAAUUUAUUUGAGGUCCUGUAGCAGGACUGUGUUUAGAAGUGCUGCCCUUUUUGAGGCAAAGGUUAUCCAGCUGUUAACAGUACAGGUCAUUGCCACAUAAUGGGAGAUAGCACAGCGUAUAAAGAUGGUAUGUAAACAAUGGGCAGCAGCUCGAAGUGCUGUGCGAAUUUAAGUUUCUGUUCUCAGUAACAAAGUUGGCUGCUGGUCUUUUCAGCUGAGGCUUCUAGACUAAAGAAUAAAACUUAAAAACAUCUUUAAAAUUCAAAUUUCAGCAUUACUUUCACACUACGUGCAUUAACUGGGUCAGACAUGUUUGAUGUAACUGUUGAAAAGAAACCUGUAUUAUAUAUUGUACUAACAAAAUAGAUUCAGGGUUGUCAUUCUAAUAUAAAGGUCACAGGGUCACAAAUCCUGUGAAAUUGUACAUCGCGCUGUAAUUUUCCACUCUCCCUGAUUGAAUCCAGGAGAAAAAAAAUGUUUUGCUGAACGUGUGUGAUUGUGCAAUUCAAGCCUAUUAGCAGUAAAUGAAAGACCAGUAUCUUGCCUCAAUUGUCUGGAAGGACUGGGACUGUAACUAAAUAGAUUUAAAAGAAUGGAGGAGCAUUGGGAAAAAGAUUGCUGAAAAUGCGUCCUUGCGUACAAUUUGAGAAAAGUGUUCCAGAAUUAAUAGCUGUGUCUGAUGAUGAUUCUACUGAGUGUACAGGUUCUGAUUUUUUUUUU